rnacentral:rRNA from 1 species
UACGUAGGUGGCAAGCGUUGUCCGGAUUUACUGGGCGUAAAGAGCGCGCAGGCGGUCGUUCAAGUCGCGUGUGAAAGCCCCCGGCUCAACUGGGGAGGGUCACGCGAUACUGAUCGACUCGAAGGCAGGAGAGGGUAGUGGAAUUCCCGGUGUAGCGGUGAAAUGCGUAGAGAUCGGGAAGAACACCGGUGGCGAAAGCGCUCUGCUGGACCACAACUGACACUCACAGGACGAAAGCUAGGGGAGCGAAUGGG